AGUACUAGAAUUUCAAAUGCUAAUUUUCUCGAGAAAAUUCAAAAGAAAAUACGGAUAAGAAAAUUGAAUUGGCGAGAAAAUACCAAGCAUGUCAUUCACAAUAAAAAUUGAAAGAGCAGAGAAAAUAUAGGGCAAAGGGAGAAAGAGGUAAUUAAUGCAAAAAGCAGAACUAUGGCUAUGACGCUUUUGGUUUUAUUACUGAAAGAGGAGGAAAAGGACUGAGGGUUUUGGAUUAUGGAAGUAAUGGAAGCGUUUCGAAAGAAUAGGUUUUGGCGUUUUCUAUAGAGUACCAGUCAAAUCAUGAAUAAACAAUAGAAUUUUG
rnacentral:lncRNA from 1 species